AUUGAACGCUGGCGGCAGGCCUAACACAUGCAAGUCGAACGAGUGGCGGACGGGUGAGUAAUGUCUGGGAAACUGCCCGAUGGAGGGGGAUAACUACUGGAAACGGUAGCUAAUACCGCAUACCAUCGGAUGUGCCCAGAUGGGAUUAGCUAGUAGGUGGGGUAAAGGCUCACCUAGGCGACGAUCCCUAGCUGGUCUGAGAGGGUGACCAGCCACACUGGAAGUGAGACACGGUCAAGACUCGUACGUGAGGCAGCAGUGGGGAAGAUGGCAGAAUGGGCGCAAGCCUGAGGCAGCCAGGCCGGGUGAAUGAAGAAGGCCUUCGGGUUGUAAAGUACUUGCAGCGGGGAGGCGUUACCCGCAGAAGAAGCACCGGCUAACGACGUGCCAGCAGCCGCGGUAAUAC
rnacentral:rRNA from 1 species